CCGCUCUGUCCUGCUUCUCUUUCUCGGCUUUUGCUUUGUGCGAUCAGGAGAGGAACCCCCAUACGGGAUAGUUCGUGGCUUUGGGGACAGUUUGGAGCACCUGUUUUAAAGAGGAGGCCAAGCAUGCAGGGUCAGGCCCUGCAGGGGCAGAGAGGGAUGGGGCGAUAACCACAGCCGGGGUGCAGGCCCGGCGACCGGCCGAGGUGCCCUGGAGGACCAGCCGCCGGGCAGAGAUGGAAGCUGAAAAACAUGUAUGGCCUUGCCCGAGAGAGGGGAGAGCGAGGCCGGGGCUCCAGCAGCCCAGGGAAAGUUGCCUUCCUGGGGUCUUUUCCAAAAAGAGAGAGAGAGUGAGUGAGUGAGAAGAGAAAAAAGGGAGGGGUUGAGGCGCGUUGAAUUUUCCUUCCCGAGCUUGGAGCGGAGCGGAUUUCCAUAAAGAAAGAGAAGAUCGAGGUCCGGAUCCUUCCACGUCCUCCUCAUUCUAUCCAGCAAAUGCACGUACACAUUGUGGACAGUCGCGGGAUUAUAUGGAGCUGGGAAGCCCGGGAUUUCAAGGGUUUCCAGGCAGACCGGUUGAAGAGAGGACUUGUGCUGCCAUGAUGCCAACACAUCUGAAUCACGUGUAGGAGGGUGGCCAGUCCUGCAACUGCAGCAACAUCAGUGGCCUUCAGACUGUCCAGGCCAGAUCUCAGAGAUGCCAGGCCCCACAUAUCUAUUGGCCUCUUUUGGCAAUGAAAAGUAAAGGAGGAGGGGAGGGAGGAGGGAAAGAAGGAAGACAUAUCUGUCUCUGUGUGUGUGUAUAUAGGUAUAUACGUAUAUA